AUUGAACGCUGGCGGCAGGCCUAACACAUGCAAGUCGAGCGAGCGGCGGACGGGUGAGUAAUGUCUGGGAAACUGCCUGAUGGAGGGGGAUAACUACUGGAAACGGUAGCUAAUACCGCAUACCAUCAGAUGUGCCCAGAUGGGAUUAGCUAGUAGGUGGGGUAACGGCUCACCUAGGCGACGAUCCCUAGCUGGUCUGAGAGGAUGACCAGCCACACUGGAACUGAGACACGGUCCAGACUCCUACGGGAGGCAGCAGUGGGGAAUAUUGCGCAAUGGGCGCAAGCCUGAUGCAGCAAUGCCGCGUGUGUGAUGAAGGCCUUCGGAUUGUAAAGCACUGUCAGCAGGGAAGCGUUACCCGCAGAGGAAGCACCGGCUAACUCCGUGCCAGCAGCCGCGGUAAUAC
rnacentral:rRNA from 1 species